rnacentral:rRNA from 1 species
UGGGGAAUAUUGGGCAAUGGGCGAAAGCCUGACCCAGCAACGCCGCGUGAAGGAAGAAGGUCUUCGGAUUGUAAACUUCUUUUAUCAGGGACGAAGUAAGUGACGGUACCUGAUGAAUAAGCCACGGCUAACUACGUGCCAGCAGCCGCGGUAAUACGUAGGUGGCAAGCGUUAUCCGGAUUUACUGGGUGUAAAGGGCGCGUAGGCGGGGAUACAAGUCAGAUGUGAAAUCUAUGGGCUUAACCCAUAAACUGCAUUUGAAACUGUAUCUCUUGAGUGUCGGAGAGGUAGACGGAAUUCCUAGUGUAGCGGUGAAAUGCGUAGAUAUUAGGAGGAACACCAGUGGCGAAGGCGGUCUACUGGACGAUAACUGACGCUGAGGCGCGAAAGCGUGGGGAGCAAACAGGAUUAGAUACCCUGGUAGUCCAUGCCGUAAACGAUGAUUGCUAGGUGUGGGGGGACUGACCCCUUCCGUGCCGGAGUAAACACAAUAAGCAAUCCACCUGGGGAGUACGGCCGCAAGGCUGAAACUCAAAGGAAUUGACGGGGGCCCGCACAAGCAGUGGAGUAUGUGGUUUAAUUCGAAGCAACGCGAAGAACCUUACCAGGUCUUGACAUCCAACUGACGAGGCAGAGAUGCGUUAGGUGCCCUUCGGGGAAAGUUGAGACAGGUGGUGCAUGGUUGUCGUCAGCUCGUGUCGUGAGAUGUUGGGUUAAGUCCCGCAACGAGCGCAACCCUUGUCAUUAGUUGCUACGCGAGAGCACUCUAAUGAGACUGCCGUUGACAAAACGGAGGAAGGUGGGGACGACGUCAAAUCAUCAUGCCCCUUAUGUUCUGGGCUACACACGUGCUACAAUGGUCGGUACAAAGAGCAGCAAGACCGCGAGGUGGAGCAAAUCUCAAAAACCGAUCCCAGUUCGGAUUGCAGGCUGCAACUCGCCUGCAUGAAGUUGGAGUUGCUAGUAAUCGCGAAUCAGAAUGUCGCGGUGAAUACGUUCCC